rnacentral:tRNA from 1 species
UCCACAGUAGCUCACUUGGUAGAGCAAUCGGCUGUUAACCGAUCGGUCGCAGGUUCGAGUCCUGCCUGUGGAG